CCAUUUAAAGGGUUUCAGUGCAGCUUGCUAUGGGAACACUGGAGAGUAACACAAAUGGCCAAUUGUCCUAAUAGCCACCAUGGAUUGGAUGGAUGCUAACAACAGGCUCACAGUUCUCCUUCUGUUGCCUCCUUUUAUCCACAUGAGAAUCAAACAAAACCACGGUCAGUGACCAAGGCCCUGCUUAGAACUUUCUGAAGGUUGCAGCUGGCCUUCUACCUGGAGUUUUGACUUCCUUUCCGAGAAAGGAACUUGAAUGGCAAUCACAAGAAAGUUGAGAACUUCUCUUUCAUAUUUUAAGCAUUCAUUUUUUUUUAUAUUUAUUUUAAUUUACAAAUACUAAUUGUAUAUAUGUAUAAGGUAAGAUAUGAUAGUUUGAUAUGGCUACCUUGUAAUAAAAUGAGCCUCAUUACCAA
rnacentral:lncRNA from 10 species